rnacentral:rRNA from 1 species
CUGUGUGUUACAAGUGUCACACGGAACUGCCGGUCAUAAACCGGAGGAAGGUGGGAUGACGUCAAGUCAGCAUGGCCUUUAUAUCCUGGGCUACACACACGCUACAAUGGGAAGGGACAAUAGGUUGCGAAGCCGCGAGGCGGAGCCAAUCCAGCAAAACUUCCCUCAGUUCAGAUUGCAGGCUGCAACUCGCCUGCAUGAAGUUGGAGUUGCUAGUAAACGCAGGUCAGCCAUACUGCGUUGAAUACGUUCCCGGGCCUU